rnacentral:rRNA from 1 species
CUUUACUGUAACUUGAAAUUGAAAUUGGACUUUAUUUGCGCAGUAUAGGUGGAAGGCGUUGAAAGUAAUCUUGCGGGAUUAGUGGAGCAUCAGUGAGAUACCACUCCUAUAAUGUUAGAUUUCUAACUUUGGAUCAUGAUCUGGUCAAAGAACAGUUUCAGGCGGGCAGUUUGACUGGGGCGGUCGCCUCCCAAAUGGUAACGGAGGCGUACAAAGGUUUCCUCUGAACGGGUAGAAAUCGUAUCUAGAGUGUAAAGGCAUAAGGAAGCUUGACUGUGAGACCUACAAGUCGAGCAGGGACGAAAGUCGGUCUUAGUGAUCUGACGGUGCUGAGUGGAAAGGCCGUCACUCAACGGAUAAAAGUUA